UACGUAGGUGGCGAGCGUUGUCCGGAAUUACUGGGUGUAAAGGGAGCGCAGGCGGGGACUUAAGUUGGAUGUGAAAUACCCAGGCUCAACCUGGGAGCUGCAUCCAAAACUGGGUCUUUUGAGUGAAGUAGAGGUAGGCGGAAUUCCUAGUGUAGCGGUGAAAUGCAUAGAUAUUGGGAGGAACACCAGUGGCGAAGGCGGCCUACUGGGCUUUAACUGACGCUGAGGCUCGAAAGCGUGGGGAGCAAACAGG
rnacentral:rRNA from 1 species